rnacentral:misc_RNA from 1 species
GAAAUGCGAUAAGUAAUGUGAAUUGCAGAAUUUAGUGAAUCAUCGAAUCUUUGAACGCACAUUGCGCCUAUUAGUAUUCUAGUAGGCAUGCCUGUUCGAGCGUCAUUUCAAGACUCAGACUUUCUGAAGUUGAAAUAUGUGAUUCCUUAGUGGACACCACAGUUUCUAAAUACAAUAACGGAUAUAAUGAUAUAACCGAGUGUAGUAUAAUAUCUCGCUAAGGCUUUCAUUAUAGUUCGUAAACCCCAAAAAUGUUGACCUCGAAUCAGGUAGGAAUACCCGCUGAACUUAA